AUUGAACGCUGGCGGCAGGCCUAACACAUGCAAGUCGAGCGGCAGCGGGAAAGUAGCUUGCUACUUUUGCCGGCGAGCGGCGGACGGGUGAGUAAUGCCUGGGAAAUUGCCCAGUCGAGGGGGAUAACAGUUGGAAACGACUGCUAAUACCGCAUACGCCCUACGGGGGAAAGCAGGGGACCUUCGGGCCUUGCGCGAUUGGAUAUGCCCAGGUGGGAUUAGCUAGUUGGUGAGGUAAUGGCUCACCAAGGCGACGAUCCCUAGCUGGUCUGGGAGGAUGAGCAGCCACACUGGAACUGGGACACGGUCCAGACUCCUACGGGAGGCAGCAGUGGGGAAUAUUGCACAAUGGGGGAAACCCUGAUGCAGCCAUGCCGCGUGUGUGAAGAAGGCCUUCGGGUUGUAAAGCACUUUCAGCGAGGAGGAAAGGUUGAUGCCUAAUACGUAUCAACUGUGACGUUACUCGCAGAAGAAGCACCGGCUAACUCCGUGCCAGCCGCCGCGGUAA
rnacentral:rRNA from 1 species